UUAAGCAUAUCAAUAAGCGGAGGAAAAGAAACUAACAAGGAUUCCCCUAGUAACGGCGAGUGAAGCGGGAUGAGCUCAAAUUUGUAAUCUGGCGGUCUCUGGCCGUCCGAGUUGUAGUCUGGAGAAGCGUCUUCCGCGUCGGACCGUGUACAAGUCCCUUGGAACAGGGCGUCGUAGAGGGUGAGAAUCCCGUCUUUGACACGGACUGCCGAUGCUUUGCGAUGCGCUCUCGAAGAGUCGAGUUGUUUGGGAAUGCAGCUCAAAACGGGUGGUAAAUUCCAUCUAAAGCUAAAUAUGGGCGAAAGACCGAUAGCGAACAAGUACCGUGAGGGAAAGAUGAAAAGCACUUUGGAAAGAGAGUUAAACAGUACGUGAAAUUGUUGAAAGGGAAACGCUUGAAGUCAGUCGCGUCUCCCGGGACUCAGCCUCGCUUCUGCUUGGUGUACUUCCCGGGGCGACGGGCCAGCAUCGAUUUUGACCGUCGGAGAAAGGCCUUGGGAACGUGGCACCUUCGGGUGUGUUAUAGCCCUUGGUCGUAUGCGACGGUUGGGAUCGAGGACCGCAGCACGCCUUUUUGGCCGGGGUUCGCCCACGUACGUGCUUAGGAUGCUGGCGUAAUGGCUUUAAGCGACCCGUCUUGAAACACGGACCAAGGAGUCUAACAUGCCUGCGAGUGUUUGGGUGGCAAACCCGGACGCGAAAUGAAAGUGAAAGGUUGGGACCUCUGUCGUGGAGGGCACCGACGCCCGGACCAGACCUUCUGUGACGGUUCCGAGGUAGAGCAUGCAUGCUGGGACCCGAAAGAUGGUGAACUAUGCUUGAGUAGGGUGAAGCCAGAGGAAACUCUGGUGGAGGCUCGUAGCGAUUCUGACGUGCAAAUCGAUCGUCGAACUUGAGUAUAGGGGCGAAAGACUAAUCGAACCAUCUAGUAGCUGGUUCCUGCCGAA
rnacentral:rRNA from 1 species